UAGCAAUACAUCAGAGUUGGAGUGGCGCAAGGGUGCGUAACACGUGGGUAAUUUGCCAUAAAGUUGGGGAUAACUCGCUGAAAGGCGAGCUAAUACCGGAUGUGGUUAUCGGAUGGCAUCACCUGAUAACUAAAGCUGGGGAUCGUAAGACCUGGCGCUUUAUGAUAAGCCCGCGGCCUAUCAGCUAGUUGGUGAGGUAACGGCUCACCAAGGCUAAGACGGGUAGCUGGUCUGAGAGGACGACCAGCCACACUGGAACUGAGACACGGUCCAGACACCUACGGGUGGCAGCAGUCGAGAAUUUUUCUCAAUGGGCGCAAGCCUGAAGGAGCGACGCCGCGUGGGGGAUGAAGGGUUUCGAUCCGUAAACCCCUGUCAUUCGUGAACAAUGGUUACGAUUGAAUAUUUCGUGACUUGAUAGUAACGGAAGAGGAAGGGACGGCUAACUCUGUGCCAGCAGCCGCGGUAAUACAGAGGUCCCGAGCGUUGUUCGGAUUCACUGGGCGUAAAGGGUGCGUAGGUGGCCUAAAAAGUUUGAUGUGAAAGCUCAGGGCUUAACCCUGAAAUGGCAUUGAAUACUGUUGGGCUGGAGGUUUGGAGGGGGGACUGGAAUUCACGGUGUAGCA
rnacentral:rRNA from 1 species